GCAUUGGUGGUUCGGUGGUAGAAUUAUCGCCUGCCACGCGGGCGACUCGGGCUCGAUUCCAGGCCAAUUUA